rnacentral:lncRNA from 1 species
CUGGUGUUGCUGCUGCUGGUGUUUUUGCUGGUGCUGGUGCCGAAGUCGGUGGUGCAGGUGUAGUUGACGGUGUUGAUGCUGGCGGAGGUGUGGAUGAGGGUGGAGGUGUGGAUGCUGAUGGAGGUGUUGAUGGUGGCGAUGAUGCUGGUGGAGGGGUGGCUUUAGGAGCUGGAGCUGGAGCUGCACCACCUCCUGAAACGGAGACGGUCAAUUUUUGUCCCAAGGAACAGUGCUGGGCGAAGGUGCAAAUGAAAUAUGCCUGCCCUGGGGAGGUUAGAUUGAUUCUUGCCGGACCAACAGUUUGUAGUGAGAUGGGAUUGCUUGAGGUGCAUCCGUCAUAAC